rnacentral:lncRNA from 1 species
CUAGCUCUUCUUCUUUGGUGCCUAUUGAGUAGUAGCAGCAACAACAAACAACAACAACCCAUCUCUCAAAAUUGGAUUUUUUCCAUGGCACCCCCAUUGAUUUUGUUUGCUUGGGAGAAACAAAAUUGAGGGUGUCUCGUUCUGCCUUUUCUCGGGUCUAAUCUCUGUACUUAUGGAUACGUCGCAUCUGAACGCUUUGAUUCUCUUUUGAUCAUCACCUGGUCAGAAAAGAAGAAGCUUUGUGAUCUGUUUUUCUGAACUUGAUC